UACCGUUUACUAGAAAGCAUGAGAGUGUCCUAUCAGCCGCCGCCUCGCUCGUUAAUCCCUCUCUCUCUCUCCUCAGGCUUCCAUCGGGCACUAUAUAAUUCCGGAAAUAUGAUACAAAGCUCCCCAUCCCGCUUGUCGUAACGCUUCUACCCUUCUGCCCCUCGCGCCCUAAAUCCAGAAGAAGAGCUCGCUCUCCCAGCUCCUCUAGAUCUCACUCCACGCGCGUAUUAGAACCCCCAAAGAUUCUGCGUGUCGAACCGACCUUUAAGGAUUUAUUGCUGUCCAGAUAAAGUACUGAUGGAUCGAGGUCCCCUCGCCGAGUAUUCUUGGGUUGGGGCCAGGACCGGCGGCAGAGAAGCGGCGGCGGCGCGGCGGAAGACGGCCGAUCCCCGGCAAUGACAUGGCUGCCUCCGCCAGGUCCCAGCACCGCUGCGUCUUCGUUGGGAACAUACCUUAUGAUGCCACGGAGGAGCAGCUGAUACAGAUAUGUGAGGAGGUUGGUCCCGUGGUGUCCUUCAGGCUAGUAUUGGAUAGAGAAACUGGAAAGCCCAAAGGUUAUGGGUUUUGUGAGUACAAGGAUGAAGAGACAGCUCUUAGUGCUCGUCGCAAUCUUCAGGGCUAUGAAAUAAAUGGCCGUCAGUUGCGAGUCGAUUUCGCAGAAAAUGAUAAAAAUGCUGACAGAAACAGAGAGCAGGGUCGUGGUGGACCAGGGUUGGCAUCAAGUAUUGAUGCUCAGAAGCAACUAGGUGGACCCCCUAUCCUUGGGGAUUCAAGUCUUCAUCAACCUAUAGGUCUGCCAUUAGCUGCAACAGCUGCAUCUCUUAUGGCUGGAGCUUUAGGCGGAGCUCAGGCUUCUAGUAUCCAAAGUGGUUCACAAAGCCAGUCUGGAAUGGGAAAUGAUCCCUUGACUCAUUAUCUGGCUAGGAUGUCUAGACACCAACUAAAUGAAAUUAUGUCCGAGACAAAGGCUCUGGCUACUCAAAGCAAGGCACUGGCUCAACAACUCCUCCAAGGGAGUCCGCAGCUACCAAAGGCUCUCUUUCAGGCACAGAUAAUGCUCGGCAUGGUGACACCACAAAUGAUGCAAAUGGCAAAUAGUCAGCGAUCAUCAACUUCGGCCCCCCAACCUUCAUCUCAUCAUGGCCAAACACCUUUACAAAAGGAUGCACUGGGUGGAAUGUUAUCUAGGCAUCCUGAAAGUCAGAUGCCCAAUGUACCACAAAACUCAACAAUUUUACAUCAGUCUGCACUUCCACUGCCCAAUGUCCCUGUUCAACCUCAAUAUCGGCACCCUUUGCCACCACAAGCCCAAGCUCUCCAUCAGGGAAUGAUACCAGGCAAAUCUGGAGCUACCAUAACAUCAUCAAUACGUACCCAGCCUCUCGGUGGCCCUUCUAUUCAGCCAAAUCCACCUUUACCAGCAUCCAAAGGCCUCAUACCACAGACUCAGCCCCCUCUUCUGCAGCAACACCCUAGACCAACUGUAGCUGCACCUUUGGCACAACAUCCUCAGCUGGCACUCCCGAACACGAGCCUCCAGCAAUCAGUUUUGCCUCAUCCUCCAAUAUCUCAGACUGGCUCAUCAAAUUACCAAUUACCAUUGGGCGGAUUGGAGAUGCUUCCAAAGGAAGUCAGAACAUCUGCUUUGGUUAGCCAUGAUCCAACUUGGGCAUCCAGAACUAGCACACAAAGUUUAGGUGUGGGUUUGGUGGAGCAAACAGGAAUGCCAGGUGAUACAUUAGAACGCAUGCGUCAUCCUUCAAAAAUACGUAGACUGGAAGAUGGAAGUGGUGCUCCCCAGUUGUUGUAUAGCCACUCUACUUCCAGUAAACCUAGUUCAGCUCAAAUGAUUGGCACAAACUCAGUAUCUGUGAGUCAAAUGACGGGUGUUGAUGGGGUGCAACGUUCAGAGAAACAGAUGCCUCAGCUAUACUAUGCAUGCGGAGAGGUUGUUUCCAUGAUUUAAACCCAUGACCUCCAGGUCACAAUGGAGCUGUCUUACCAGCUCACCCUCAAAGAGAGUUAAAUAGCAGGAUGAGGGAAAUAGGAAAGAGAGGAAGAAAAUAGAUAAGAAGAAGAGAGAGAAGGAGGCCUGCGCCUUUUCUUUCAAUUAUAAUUCCAGCUUACAGCAGAAGUGGAGUCAGCCCUUCUGCAGCAAGUACUGAGUCUAACACCUGAGCAGUUGAGUUCAUUACCUGCAGAGCAGCAGCAGCAAGUCCUUCAACUCCAACAGAUGUUAUCAAUGAGCAAGUAGUCCUAACUUUCUACUGAUUCCUCAAUGCCCUCGGUCGAGCAUGGGCAAGACACAUGGACAUAUGCACAAAAGGCAGGAUCCUGGUUCAAUUUCUUUAUCACCUUCCAUCAAAUAUAUUUGUGCACGCAUUCUUCAAUGUAUAAAUGUUAUAGAAAAGCAUAAUAGUCCACCAUCAUGGUUACUGAAAGCAAGUCUCGCUUCAUUGCUUCAGUGUAACGUUUGAGUACCAUUCAUUGCCUUUAAAGGAAAAGCAUAGGGCUCUUUGAUCUAUUCGUGCAACUUUGCACCAGUGUGCACAUACCGUUUUAUUGUCUCCAGCAAUUGAUGCAAAGCAAUAUCAGAUGGAAGAAGAUUGAACCUACAAAUUUUCUUUAGUGGUGUAUCACUGCUUCGAUCCUAUCUCUGACAAGCCCUACUUGACUAUCAUGGCUCCUAUGAAUACAGGUUUUGGGAGUUUUGAUGCCUCCAGCAUCCGCAUGGUUCAUUGGUUCAUUUUUCAAGUAACAUUGCCUAAUAAAAUCUGGAAUAUUUCAGUUUGUCUGAUCA